rnacentral:lncRNA from 1 species
UUUGUUAUUUCCAACUACAUUAAUUAUUUCUUUACAUACAUGCCCCUAUUUAUUAUACAUUUUUUUCUUCAAUCAACAAUAAAUAACAUGUUGAAAACAUAAACUAACCUUCUUUCUUAAAGGAUAAAAUUGUAAUAACAAUAGUGAUUACAAACAACUUUAAUACAAAUAUCCACUAUCUUAAUUCCCGUGAUUUUGACAAAAGGGUCUUAUAUAUAAGGACGGAGGGAGUAUAUCGUAUAGAUAAUAAUUUAAUUAAUAAUACUCUGUUUAUCACUCUAAAAUCAUUUUAUUUAUGAUCAUAAUAAAAUUACUAUUCAAGCAGAAGGAUCCAUAAAUAUUAUCACUCCAUAUGCAAUUUUAAUUGGUCUCAAGAUUGCUCAAGCCGAAUGAUUCAUAAAUAUCAUUGAAUCAGACUUCCUUUUAAUAGUUUACUUCGCUUCUUGUGAAACUUCUCAACUUCAUCCUUAUGCUUUGCUUAUCAUAAUAAUUUUUACUUUCGCAUAGGGAUUGCAACAUCUCUAUUCGGCACACUCUUAUAGAGGAUAAUGAAUGUCUCGCUUAGCUUUCAAAGAUUAGAGUUUCCUCCAACAAUACCUUAAAGAUUUAGAAUAAAUAUCAUCCAAAACCAGUGUCAUGUUGACGACUGAUGGUGUAGGCGUCUCUUGUCCCUGAACUUAGUUUCCUUUCUUAGCUUCCUUCCUUUAGUGUAAGAGAGAGUAAAGGAGAUAGUUAUUUUCAUUAUGUUGUUCUUUAAAGUUUGGUGGAUUGUUGUUUAUAUUUAAAUUGAGUUUUAGGCUCUGAUAUUGUAACAUCAGGACCGAAUUUAAUAAUAUGUUCUUGACUUUUUUUCUUGGAUCUUGAGAAAAUAUUACAUAUUUUAUUUUAUUAUGAGGAUAUUUGUAAAGCUCUAACAAGGAAAAAUAUUUUAUUUUGAGUUAUGACAUUGAGUUGCUACUUGUCAUGAUAAUGUGAUAUUUUAUUUUUUUUUUACGAAAAAUGAUGAAUUUCUAUCCUAGAUUACCUGA